CUCAGUCGUUACUCUCUCUUUUCCUUCUCUCCACUCUCUAUUUCUAACAAUAAAAAUAAGCAACUCUCCCUGCUACUGCCGAAGGAAGAAACCCCAACCCCGGGAAUAUAUUGAUAUGUAAAGGAUUAGGGGCAAGUUGCCUUACUGGACUAUGGGCAAGUGAAGGAUCUACCAAAUCAGUUGCGGCUUAGGUAUACUAAUUUGGUUCGUGUCGUCGCUGAUAAUGAUCUUCAGGUAUUUCGGUAAUCUCCUUGCUCCGAUGAAACCAGCGGUGGUCAACUUUUGCCGGUGUUCCCACGAUGCUGAUCUGAUAUUUGACUUGGUGCUCCGAGAAAACCGGCCGUGGGGUGAGGAGUCUUCAGCAGUUACGGCGUUGAUGGAGAAGAGGCUAGGGCAUGCGACGUGGUAGGGUUUUUGGAAACCUUGAUCUUCGGGUUUAACUUGGAGCGGGUCCUAGGCCAUCAACGGGUUGGAUCACUGCUUUGGGUUUCUGCUAGGCCUAUUGUUGAUUAUUAUUGGACCUGAAUGUAUCCAUAUAAAACAAGUUAA